GCGCGGAUUGGGCGCCUGGGGCUGUGCGGGACGCCGGCGGCAGCUCUCCCUCCAGCGCCCCGACGCUGCCCCUAUUCCCGCCCACUCACGGAGAGGGAAACUGAGGCGCGCCGCAGUUGCCACGCUGGAGGGGACCAAACGGCAAGGAACCGAAUGCUGCCAACAUCUAGUGAGUGAGUUUAGACGCAAAUCCUUCCCCAGCCAGCCUGCGAAUGAGACCACAGCCCAGGCCGACAGCCUGUGAGAGACCCUGAGCUGGAGGAGGCCACGCCCAGACUCCUGCCCCACAACAACCGGGCCACAGCAAUGUGCUCAAGCUGACAGCACUGUCCUCAACAGCAGCCCUACACAGUAUUGAGUGCCACAUCCUCCAAAGCAGGAGAGCAGCCUUCAAAUGCUGUAUCCCAGGCACGUGGCGCUCGUCCCUGACUCACCACCAACCUUUCCACUCUACACCCACCUGCAUCCUAUAGUAAUUCCGGAUGCCAGCCCAUCGUCAACUCACCAGGCCUUGCUCGUGCCGUGUCCUCUUCCCACGUCUGCCUCGCUCACGUACGCAUUGUAGUUUCGUGGUUGUGUUUUGAAAAGGAAUCCUCAUCUUUUGAGAGCCUCAAACCAGCCUGUUUGCAGAUGAAAUGAUCCGAUGUCGGGGAUUUGCUUCAAAGUCAUGGCGGUCUCUAAGAGGACAGUGAUUCCCCGGGACCAGCUUAUUAAAAGCAAAAAAAAAAAAAAAAAAAAAAAUCCAGUGGCAGAGGGGACGUGGGGGACCUGGAUGAGAUCUGUGAAGCCUCGGUGGAUGCUGUGUGGGAUCUAUGAGAACCCCAGGCCCCGAGGAGGUCCGUGGGGGUCCCCGAAGGCAGAGCUGGUGCUGAGCUGUACCCCCAUCUGGACAACGGAUGGCCCUGAUCCUCUCUGCUCAGAAAUGCCCAGUGCGACAGACGGAUGUGUGUGUCCCCACCGCCCCCCCCAGCAGGUCCACAAGGUGAAACCUCACCCCCAGCGGGAUAGUGUGAGAAGGUGGGGCUUUGGGGAGGCGACUGGGGGAUGGGGGCGGAGCCCUCAUGAGUGGGAUCAGUGCCCUGAUGAAAGCGACCCCACGGAGCUCCCUGCGGGCUUGCACCGUAUGAUGACAUCCGGGUCAUCGGCCACUGAAUCGGCUGGCCCCCUGACCUGGGACAUCCCAGUCUCCGGAACUGUGAGAAAUACAUCUGCGUUGUCUCUGAGCCGGUCCUACUGGGGCCUUCUGUCCUAGGAGCCCAAACCCUCCAAGACAUGCAGCGUGACGUGCUCUGGGCCACAUUCUUCAUGCUCGCAACCUCCCGAUGGGGCCCGCGGUGCACAAAGCGGCCCAGUGAGAGAACACACCCGCCUUCGCAGCCCUGGCUUCCAGAUGGUGCCGGCCUGGCCUCCAGGUUUCCACGGUGGGGAAGGGAUGCCCUCCCCGCCCUCUCGAGUCCUCGAGACCCGCUGGUUCCAGUCUCUGGCCUGGUGGCGGAGAGGGGAAUGCUUUUUCCCGCCUUCCUCCGGGCUCCGUGACACAGGCACCUGGGUCACAGAUGUGUCCCGCAGGGAGACAAAGGUGGCGAUGACCUAACCACCCCCACAGCGGGCAGUUCCUUGAAAAGGCGUGAGUCCCCAGCUCUUUCGGAAAGCAGCUCGGCGGAGUGUAUCAGGGGCCUGGAAAGGUGGACGCUUCCCUGUCCAGCGAUCACACUUCUGGGAAUUUGCCCGAAGGAACUAAUCCUAAAAAAAAGAGAAAAGAAAGACCACACACCCAGGGAUAUCUACCAAGCUCCCAGCCGCAGUGAAAAAAUAGAUUCUGCAUCGUAACCCAGUAUACGCGGAUGCUGGCGUAUAACUAAAUAGAAAACUUAUGCAAUGCUACUUAUUAUAAGAAAUGCCAUCUGGGGUUGUCUCUUGGAUGCUGUCCUUCCCCGUCCUAUCCUGUCUGUCCUGUCCUAUCUCAUCCCAUCCUGUUCUGUUUAAAAGGCAAGGUGGCUGGUCAUGACCCAGUCAUAUGGCUUCAUGUCCCACCGCUUGGCGUGACCUUCGAGGAAGCAGGUACCACACAUGUUCCCGUUCGGUGUCCGUUGCCCAGCCCCACCCCACCCCCUCCCGGCUCUACAGCUUGUCUUUGCCCCUGGAGGAUUUCACAGCCCGAUCUCUGGAACUGGACAGACGGGGCUGGGGCCAUUUUGUCCUCCUAAAUGGUGGCAGAGGAGUUUC